rnacentral:sRNA from 1 species
GCGUUUUGGUAGAAGAGAAACCUUUGCAGAUAUGCUUGCCAUUUGUUCACAUUGCUGUGGCAUUCACUGGAAGUCACUAGGUCAUCCUUGUAUAAGCGAAAAGUCAUUCAGCAUAAAGGAACUUACACCAAAAGACUUCCUGUCCUUGUUUAAGCUCUGAUCCACAUUUUCAAGCUCAUGGUUUGUUGGAUGAUUGCAGGUUGAAGGCUCAGUGAUGAACAGCAGUCUGUUAUAAUUGCAUAACAAAAAAAAAUGCUUGUCAUAUCAAAUGUUACAUAUAACUUUUAUAUACGCUGAUGAACAUAUUGAAUUCAUAACCAACAGAAUUCUUCUGUACAUUUUGAUAAUGUAAUUAAACUCAUUAUUCACAAUGAUUAUCAUUAUCAUUCUGAAUAUACAUAAACAUGACUGGAUGUGCUAAGUGCUGUGGACUGUCACCAUGAUGGUCCUGGGUUUGAAUCCCGCCCAUUGACAUCCCCCAGCAUCUAGCAGGAGGUUAGUGAAAGAUAUAAUAAUCUUCAACUCUAAAGGAACAUCUGACCCAUGUAAAACUAAGAAAAAGAUGAAAAUCUCUAAACACAAAUCUAGACUCAACCUUUGACAGGUAAUUAAAUGAUAAAAAGAAAUGUACACACUAGUUAUAUAGAUGUUAAUACUGUUAAUAUAUUUUUUGUAUUUAGCAAAAAAUUUGGAUUUCAAAAUAAAUAUUGUGUUACUUUGUUGCUAUGUUGUUAAAAUAUUAAAAUAGUAUAUUGUGUGAAUUAUUUCCUUACCAAAUUUGAUUUGAAUCAAAUACAAAUGUUAAGGUUUUUAAAAACUUGUGCUAAUGUGAUAAUUAAAAACACAUGUGUGGAACUUU